AGUCCUCAAGGCACGCCUACCAGUCCAGGAUUUAGGGAUUACCGAGUUGAGUGAAGGUGUUUUUUUUUGUUUUUUUUUCUAAAAAAACCUUAGACACAACUGGGUAAUCCCAAAGUUCUGGACUGGUAGGCGUGCCUUGAGGAACU